rnacentral:tRNA from 1 species
GGCUCAGUGGUCUAGGGGUAUGAUUCCUGCUUUGGGUGCAGGAUGGCCCGGGUUCAAAUCCCGGCUGAGCCC